rnacentral:lncRNA from 1 species
GGAAUUCCUCUAUAUUAGGUUCAGGAGUAUAUGUGAGAAGAACCACAUGAUCAGCCGUUCUUCUUACUCCUUGUAGUUGGAAGUCUGAAGAUGGUAUUGGUUGAGAAGAAGAGGGAAGUAUGAUGACAUCAGGAGUAGUAUGACAGGAUUUUCUAGCAGGUAUGAAUGAUUUUUUGUUUCUUUUCCUAUUAAUGUCUAUAUCAUCCUUUACUUUAGAUUGUUGGAAUUUUAUUUCAAUAUUUCCAUCUGAAUGUUCAAUUAUUUGGUUUGGAAUAUUAUUGAUAGGUACUUCUCGAGGUUCGUUGGCAUGUUGUAAUGCCCAUGACUGAGGUAAAAU